AUGGAUCUCAUGGAUAACCUCAUGGAGCUAAGCAUAGAGGGAAUAUGGUGUUGGCAAUAUGCAACUUGCUUACAAGGGCGUCUACCGAACCUUCAAAGGCUCAGGGUGAUCAAGCCUACGCGUGGAUCAGAUAUUUCAACAAAACCAAGCAAUUCCUUCUUGGACAAGGCAAAAUUGGAAAUACUUGAUCUGUCUGGCAACAUUGAGAUGAAAAGUCUACCAAACAGCCUAUCUAAGGCAAGUAGCCUUCAAGUGCUUAUUCUGGAUGGUUGCAAUAAGCUUAAAAAUGUUGUUGUCCCUGAUGGGCUGCCUCGCUUGCUGAAGUCCUUCAGCUUUGAUGGAUAUGGGCCAGCUUCACACGGGGCACCAACUGUUGAGCUACCUCUGAAACAAGAACGCCCUUCAACCCCAACCAUGAAGAUGGGUGCAAGUGCCUCUAUGAUUUCCCUCGAAGGUUGCUCACAAUUGGAUAAUUUAUUUGUGCGUGGGUUGCCGAACCUUGUGGAGCUUGACCUAUCUGGAACUGCAAUCAAGACACUUGAUUUCAAAACUACGGUGUUAGAAGUCCCAAUGCUGAAGCGACUAUUUCUGCUAGGAUGUGAGCGCCUUCGGGCAAUAAUUUGGAGCACUAAAGAUAUCUUCCACUUGAAUUUGUUAUGCAUAGACACACGAGCUGGAACUGGCUGUCCCCGACCAUGCAUUGACCAGAAUAAAUCCUUUCGGUUGGAGGUGCAUGCCAUUGUUGUGGAUGCGAGGCUUAGUCAGUGGUUGUGGCAUCCAUUAUGUGACUAUGUAACAGUAACUAAGGAUGUUUAUCUUAAUAUCCAUGUUACCUCAGCUAUGUGUAGUGGGCCAACUCAAUCUGAAGUGACCAGCAAGGAGAAGAAGGUUACCAUUUAUGGAGGACAAGUCAGCCUGCCACAGCUUGUGCAAGCAGACCGGUAUAGUGAUGUCCAAAACAUGGUUGGUGAAGCCCCGAUGCAGGCCUUCCCUAAGCCUCCCUCCAACAACUUGGAUCGGCAUAUCGAGAUUACUGGAGGGAGCCACACCUUUGACAGUGGUCUGGGAGAUGUGAUGAAAAUGUUUGCUGAAUCCCUCCAUGUCCAUGAUAUCUCAACUAGUGCUAGUUUGCCUAUGGGAGGCUCGAGUUUGCUCAGACAGUGCUGCAUAGAGAGGUGCCCCAAGUUGGGUGAAGUCUUCCCCUCGCCUUCACUUACAUUUCAGCAGCUAGAGACCUUCUGGGCAUCAGAUCUCCUAAUGGCCCGUUGGAUAUGCAGUAAAGAUUUUCGCUACAACAAUCAUGGUACGUUCAGUAAUCUGCAACACCUGCAGCUGCGCUCUUGCCCAAGGCUCCAGUUCGUGCUCCCUGUGUGGUUCGACUCCUUCCCAAGUUUGGAGACCCUCCACAUCAUACGCUGCGGAGACCUCAGGCACGUCUUCGUGCUGGACAAGGGAUGGCACCAACAAAUAUACAACCAAGGUGUAGCAUUCCCAAAACUGGCCACAAUCCACCUGCACGACCUGCCAAUGCUGCAGCAGAUAUGUGAAUUCAAGAUGGUGGCACCGGAGCUCAAGACCAUCAGGAUCAGAGGAUGCUGGAGUCUGCACCGGUUGCCGGUGGUGGGUGCCCGUAGCGGAGACAUGAAGAAGCCAACCAUCAAGAUCGAGAAAGAUGUCUGGGACGUACUGGAGUGGGACCAAGAUGUGGCCCCUGGCCACUUCGAGGCACCGCAGCACUCACGCUACUACAAGGAGAAACUGCCCAGGGUCUCUGUCCUCAGGUGA
rnacentral:rRNA from 1 species